GCCAGGAGUGGUGGCACAUCCCUGUAAUCCCAGCUACUUGGGUAGCUGAGGCAGGAGAAUUGCUUGAACCCAGGAGGCAGAGGCUGCAGUGAGCCAAGAUUGGCCACUGCAGUCCAGCCUGGGUGACAGAGCAAGACUCUGUCUCAA
ensembl:misc_RNA Metazoa_SRP Metazoan signal recognition particle RNA